ACUAGGAAAGGCUCAAGAUCACU
rnacentral:piRNA from 1 species